CCCACUCUCCUCUGUCAGAAUCAAACAAAUCAAAAGGAAGCAGCUCCAUCCUCAUUUUCUGUCAACUCCACCUCUACUCACUUUCCUCUCUCUCUCUCUCUCUCUCUCUCUCUCCUCUAGCGUUUCCGCUCUGCAGCAGGAGACGAAGAAAGCGGCUGUUUGUACUUUGUAAUCUCGUUUCAUACAACACAAAAAGAAAGUUUCUUUCUUUUGGCGUUUUCGCUGGAGAAUUUUAGUGCCAUUCCCUCUUCUUCUUCUUCUUCUUCUUCUUCUCUCUAGCCUUUACGGAAACCUAAUCUUCCUAGUGCUUAAAGUAUUUAUGCGAUUCACCAUUCAAUGAAGAAUUGACUUGGUGGUGUGUGAAUUCUAUCAAGUUGAAUAUCUGAGGCUCUGAGCAUGGACAAAGUAUCAUCAGACUGUCCAUACCCAGGAUGCUUUUUCUGCGUCAUGAAGGAAGGAAAUCCAAGCAAGCGCAGAGCAAGUAUAUUGAAAUUUUUCAGGGAACUUCCUUCACAGGAUGAUGAUGGCCAGGUUCUCCCAAUCAGUGGUCUUUGGAACACUGCCAUGGCACAUCCCAAUGAUCCUGAGUUCAUUGAGUUGGGAAUAUUUGAAUGCAUGGCUGCACUUAUAUGGAAGGGUUUAAAGAAUCGCAGGUGGCUUUCUCUCGAUCAGAACAUCUACAUUCCUUAUUAUGCUGCUCAUAUCAUUGGAUCCUACACCAUGAAUAUGGAAGAAUUUGCGGAAAGUGCUGUCCACGCUGGUGUAAUUCCUCCCCUGGUUGAGCUUUUGAGGGGGAGAUUGACAUGGGUUGAACAGAGAGUGGCAGUACGAGCUCUAGGACACUUGGCUACAUAUGCCAGCACUUUUCCUUCUGUAGCAAGUCAUGGUGAAAUACUUGAGCUUUCCAUUCAACUUGCAAUGAGUUCACUAGAAAUUGUUUACUCUCAUUUUUACCAGUAUGUUGAUAGAAGGCUAAGUUAUCAUUGUGAUUUGCUUACUCGUGGCAUGGGAGGUGUUGAAAUGGAGUCCAGGAAAGCGGAGGAAUGGGCUAGUCAGUUGCAAUGCUGGUCACUUCAGCUUAUUAAUUGUUUUGCUUUCAAGCCUGAGUUUAUUCCUACCAUUUGCAAGCCUGAAUUCUUAGUAAAACUGCCAGGCAUGUGGGGUGGACUUGUUAAUGAGAAUUCACCUGCUGGUAUUGGUUUAUUGAGAACAAUUUGUCAUCAUAAGCUUGGUAGGGGACCUGUUGCUAGCUGUCCUGGUAUAAUUGAGGCAUUGUGCAACAUUGCUAGCUCGUCAGAUGAUUGGCAGUAUAUGGCUAUAGAUUGUCUUCUUUGGUUGCUUCAAGAUCCAAAUACUUGCCAUAAGGUGAUCGAUAAGGCAGUUCCUGCCCUGAUAGACCUUGCAGAGAUCAAAGCUCUGGGUGAUCAAAAAAAGCUUGGUGAUUCCAUUGUUAAUGUUCUUCAGGAUUGUAUUCAAUCACAAGGGACAGGGCGUAACUCUGUCAGUAACCACACAAAAGAACUGAUUGGGGAAUUGUUAAACUCAAAACAAAGAAUGAAAUGGGAAAAGAAUAUGCCAAAGGAAGAUCUACAUAUCAAGCAGGCUGCAGCAUUAGUGGUCAAGCUUGAAGGAAAUUCCUUGUUCUCAUCAGGAAAUAUAUCUGGAGCUGCAUCAAAGUACUCUGAAGCAUUGUCAUUGUGUCCAAUGAGAUCCAAAAAAGAGAGAGUUGUUCUAUACAGUAAUCGAGCUCAGUGUCAUCUUCUGUUACAACAACCCUCGGCUGCUAUAAGUGAUGCUACACAUGCACUUUGUCUUCACAACCCUCUUAAUCGUCAUGCAAAAAGCCUUUGGAGAAGAGCUCAGGCUUAUGACAUGCUGGGACUAGCUAAAGAGAGCUUGUUAGAUGCCAUUCUGUUCAUUAAUGAAUGCUCUCAAUCAAAUGACCCUGAUCUAUGUUUGAGGCACAAUAAAGUUCCUGACUAUGCGGAGCGCCUAGUCAAGAAGCAGAUGCGUGCUGCCUGGUUAUUUAGAGAGGCAGCUAUCAAACAUGGGGGUGUCCACUAUGAAGGAGAUGCUGGUGAUGUUUAUGGCCAAGACAGUGAUGAUUCAGAAUGGGAAACAGCAAGCGAAAGUGAUAUGGGAAAUGAUGGAAGAGGUGAAAUGGGUGAUGAUGAUGAUGAUAGUGAAUGGAAGAAUGAGGAUGAGAGUAAAGAUAAAUGUGAUAAGGCAUAAUUAAAAGCUUGCGGAAAUGAAUCUUGAAUUUGGAAGAGGGAUGACAUAAAGAUGCCUUGAACAGAUAUCUUGAAACUCAUCAGUGCAUUUGAGUUUGAAAUGGACUACAGAAUCUAGCUUGGUUUCAUGAGAAGCAGGUUCAAUAGAAAUGUGUAAUUGGUCAUUAUGUUUAGCAGGUCAACAUUUUGAAGCCCUUUAGGGGUUGGUCUCUCUGCUGAUAUACAAUGGCAUGAAACCUUCCAUUCUCAACCUCAACUAGCAUACUCUAUUGCUUGUGUGAGUCACUUCCACAUUGUAAUAUGCUGCACCCUAAUUUCAAACAGCUUUUUAUAUUUCAACCUGGAUGUUCCACUCUUACCCUUGUUGAUGGAAUUACAGGUUUAUAUGUAUUUUUACAUGGCUAAAUGUUUAAUUUUACUCCCAUACUUAAUGGGAUGUUCAUUUUA